AGGGUAGGCCGGAUCCUGGGCUGUGUCCCAGAACCCUGUGCUCCCGGUCUACGCUGUUGGAUUCUACGCUGUUGGAUUCGGCUCCCGGCCGCGCAGCCCCCU
rnacentral:pre_miRNA from 1 species